AGGGAUAGCCCUAUGUUAUUAUAUACAUAAAAAGGGAAUUCAUGUGCUUAUUAUCUGUUUCAGUUAAUUUGGUUAUAAAGCCAUAUUGAAAUAUCUACUUGAGCAAGUUAAUUUUGGGUCCUUUUUAUUUCUUUCAGGCUUUGCUUGAUUGAUCAUCAAUAAAAUUGGUCACUUUUUGUACCCGGGAUUCCAAUCCAACCGGAAAUUUAGUAAUUGACAUCGAUGUCAUGACAUCAAUUUCUUUCAAAAUGUCCUUAACAAUUUUCUUC
rnacentral:lncRNA from 1 species